UAAUUAUUUACAUAUAUAUUUUUUCUAGAAAAUUGUAAAAUAAAGAACAAUAUUAGCAAUGUUCUCAACUUAGUAUUAGCAAGAUUCUAUAUUAGUAUGAGCAAAUAUUUUUCUGAACCUUAAAGGCAAAGAUUUAUUUUUCUAGAAAAUUGUAAAAUAAAGAACAAUAUUAGCAAUAUUCCAACUUAGUAUUAGCAAGAUUCUAUAUUAAUAUUAGCAAAUAUUUUUCUAAACCUUAAAGGCAAAGUACAAUAUUAGCAAUAUUUUCAACUUAGUAUUAGCAAGAUUCUUUAUUAGUAUUAGCAAAUAUUUUUCUGAACCUUAAAGGCAAAGUAUCAUUGGGAAGAAAUGAAGAGAUUGUGCCUUCUUUGAUAAAUCAUGCACAAGAAGAUCGAGAGGAUGAUCUCCUUGUUUUACCAUUUUUGGAUGAAUAUUAUAGAUGAAGAAGUUGUAAUCGAUAUCUCCAUUGCAGCUGAUAGCUCUGUAACUUUACCAAUAUCAUUUAAUAACAUUCAAUUCUCAUAUUUAAAUAUAUAACAGCCAUAUAAUUUUAUUCUUUCCCAAAAAAACGUAAUUUAUUAUAUUCAAAUAAAUAUCUAUAUAUUCAUCAUAAAUUUGUCUGCAUAGUAUAUGCUAAAAUGUAGUUUUUUUCAAUAUGUUAUAGUUUGACAAUUAAUUUUAACAUUAUAUUGUUA